GGCGCGGUAGCUCAGCUGGUUAGAGCGCAGGAUUCAUAAUCCUGAGGUCGAGAGUUCAAGUCUCUCCCGCGCUA
rnacentral:tRNA from 2 species